CCUACGGGAGGCUGCAGUGAGGAAUAUUGGUCAAUGGGAGAGAUCCUGAACCAGCCAAGCCGCGUGAGGGAAGACGGCCCUAUGGGUUGUAAACCUCUUUUGUCGGAGAACAAAACCCGGGACGUGUCCCGGACUGCGUGUAUCCGAAGAAAAAGCAUCGGCUAACUCCGUGCCAGCAGCCGCGGUAAUACGGAGGAUGCGAGCGUUAUCCGGAUUUAUUGGGUUUAAAGGGUGCGUAGGCGGUCCGUUAAGUCAGCGGGAAAAUUGCGGGGCUCAACCCCGUCGAGCCGUUGAAACUGGCAGACUUGAGUUGGCGAGAAGUACGCGGAAUGCGCGGUGUAGCGGUGAAAUGCAUAGAUAUCGCGCAGAACUCCGAUUGCGAAGGCGGCGUACCGGCGCCAGACUGACGCUGAGGCACGAAAGCGUGGGGAUCGAACAGGAUUAGAUACCCCAGUAGUC
rnacentral:rRNA from 1 species